CCUGCUAACAACAGCACAUGAUAAAAACCUGAAGAAGAUCCCUGGUCUUUCAUGAAAUAUAUAUUUCAAGGUAAGCAAUGCCACUUCUGGCUUAUUCUAAUUUAUCUCAGAAAAU